CAAACGAAAAAACCAACUUCAAUUACAUCGACAAGUAAAAUACAACGUAAGUAGACAAAAAAAAAUUAACAAACGCACCAGUCGUCCCUACGAUUUUCGAGGGUUUCCCUCGAUUUCUCU